rnacentral:lncRNA from 1 species
UUUCUUGGGCCACUCCCGCGGCAUAAGGAGGUUCCCAGGCUAGGGAUCGAAUCGGAGCUGUAGCUGCCGGCCUACGCCAGAGCCACAGCAACGCAGGAUCCAAGCCACGUCUGCAACCUGCACCACAGCUCACAGCAACGCUGGAUCCUUAACCCACUGAGCAAGGCCAGGGAUCAAACCUGAAACCUCAUGGUUCCUAGUCGUAUUCGUUAACCACUGAGCCACGACGGGAACUCCUGUUUGUUUGAUUUUAAGCUGGUGGAAGGCCAGGCUCAUGGUUGACUCUCCAGCAGCACUUCACUGUUCAUGUAUAACAUGGACUUGAUAAAUGUUGUGGAAUGAAGUGAAACUGCCUACCUCUGGAUCGGAACCCUAUCCCACAAACAGUACUUUUGGUAACUCAUCCUGUUUCCAAAGAGACCUACUGUUCCUUGGGAUGCCAGGCACAGAGGGUCUGGUCCUGGUGCUGGAAGAGGUCACCCUCUAGUGGGAGGACAGUGUCUUUCUGCUGCCAGUUACAUGGAGAUAAUGAGUUGCAAAUGUUGAAUUGGCUUUUGGAGUUCACAGCCUGCCACUUUGAACCACGACCAGCAUGGAAAGUGAUUGGGCAAGCUUGUGACUCCUGGUGCCUUUGUCUAUUAAAGCACUUUAUAUAGCGAUGACUUAUCUGCUUCUUUGCCUAAUUAAAACAGCUCCUAAUUAAAGCUGUUUUCAACCCAAUAAAGAGCCUCACCCCACCUAAUAGAGUUGGGCAACUCCUUGGUGGCCUCUGCCUUUGUCCUCUUAGGCUCCAUGGUCUGGGUUAAGAUCCUACACCUUCAGCAGGGCCACCCUCUGAAACAUUUAAUGAGGAGAAGAAUAUUGUUUCUUGGAGAUGUAAUUGCAAGAGAGAGUGCAACCUUCUCUGAGAUAACAAGCAUUUUGAGAUGCAAUGCUUUGGGGAAGAUUUAGCCCAGGUCAACGACUGCCCUAGCUGUCAUGAUUCCUCUUAAUGAUGCCGUGCUUCCGUUUGGCAGAAAGACUCUGGGGUCUCUUUCUAAAGUUCAUUAAACUUUUGUCUGAGAGACUUGUACUUGGGACUUGUGGUUCUGUGUCUUUUCUUACAGCUUUUCAGGCUGUUACUACAGUUUGCUGAUUGUGGCUGUGGGCACAACUGUGAAAUAGGUACCUUGCCCUUUGAAGCCCCCAGCACUGCCAGACCGUAUAGACUCAAUGCUGCGGGUACAAAAGCCUGUGCUUUUUAUUAGGGUUCCUGAAGACUGGAAACUGGGUGCAGAACCGCUGCUGAGAGACACACUUGAGGACUCAUAGUUUUUCUAUCUUCUCAGGAGCCCACCUGUCUUUCUCAAAAGUUACAUGUGAAAGAUUUUUAUUUGGCACUUAGCUUUAAUGUACAUAGGAAGCCAUCUACUUGAAGUAACUCUUCAGAAAACCACUUUGUGAAGUGGUUACAACUUUGGUAAUUUGAAAAACGUCUCCCUAAUUUAUCUGUCUUAAAAAUUUCAACUUUUUAACAUCACACUGUCAUCUUUCAAGGCGUAGCUGUGUUUUUUUCUUUUGCUUUUCUUCCCACUGCCUCCCUUUUAUUUCCUGGGAAGGGAAUUGAUUUCCUUCACAUGCGAUAGAGGGUUUUUCUUUCCCUCGUUGCCUGUGUCUUUGUUUCACUGUGUCAGAAUCUUUCAUUUGUAAGGAAACAGAGGGAGAACCUUAAACUUGGAGUGAGAGAGCCUAGCGAUCCCAUCCAGCUUUUUCCUAAGUUAAUGUGAGCUUUAGACAAGCUAGGUAACCUCCCUGAGCCUUAGUUUAUUCACCUAUAAAAUGGGUAUAAAAAAUCCCUCUAUCAUUUUGUUGCCACAGGAUUAAUUUUAAUAAUACUAUGUGUAUAAAGCACUUGGUACCUGACACAAUGUAGGUAAGGUCUGAUUUGGGAGCUCUCCUCCCAAUGAAAAUGUGACCUCUUGCCAAUGACCUCUUGCCAAAAUACUUUGUGAUAUUUGUUCUCACCCCUCCCUGCCCCCCAUGGGGGGGAAAUACUGUGCUUGUUAUAUCACCAACCACAAAAUGUGAAGUGGUUACAACUUUGGUAAUUUGAAAAAUGUUUCCCAUCCCUGUUUCCUUCUGCACUGUCCAGGAUGUGUUUCUCUAUACAAAUAUAUCUACGGCCACUAAAACAAACCAGAAAUACCCACCCUCAGUGGUCCAUAAGCAAAGAUAACCCAAGCCAAACACGUGGGUGUGGCUCUUUAACAAUGUGGUGGGGGGAAGGGUCACUGCGACAUCUCUCGGCCCCACUCCCAUUUCUGAGUUUUUCAUACCUCAACUGUUUCCUCUUCAUACACAAGAUGGGCUUUUUUUUUUUUAUAGACACGACUCCUAGUCAAGCAGUCCAGGCCCCUUAGACUCAGAGAAGCCCCUUCUGUCUCCUCCCCCACCACGUGUCCCAAGGGGAGAGUGGUCUCAGAUGGGGACCUUUGUGCAAAAUGUUGCUUGAGAGGCUGGAAAAUCAAACUCCUGCGUGCCAGGUUGAUCCCCCUCCUGGCCUCCUGGCCUUGCUUUUCCCUCCUGUUUCGUGUUCAAACACAGUUGCCUCCACCAACCUAGGCUGUCCUGACAGACCCCACCCUUCCUGGCCCCUAGAUCUUUUGUUCUUCUGUCCCAGCCACUGCCCCCUCCCCCACCCCAGUACACUCAGCUUCACUGCUGCUUAAAUGUCAUUUUUGAAACAACAGAAGGACAUGCUGUUUUUUUGCGGCAUCUUGGGGGAAAAAAAUUUUUUUUUUGAUCCAUUUGGUGUUAAGAGCACUCACAAGAAAUGUAUUCAGGGACCCUCGCCAGCCUCUUUCACUGGUGUGGUUCACAUUUUGUGGUUGGUGAUCUAACAAGCACAGUAUUUCCCGCCCAGAAAUGUCCGGUCUCCUAUCAUCUGCAUCCGUCUUCCUUAGAUUUCUUUGUCCUCCAGGUAAUUCUGCAUUCAAAGCACCACAGUUCCGGAUUUAUUUCCAAGCUGGGAAAUCCAUCCUGAUAAAGCCCCUUCUCAGGGAUUUGAACCAGUUCUCCGGAGAAACUGGGAACAUGGCCAAGUCCAGCUUAAUUCUCUGGGCCACAAUGGAGGGAGAGGCUUGAGAGCCUUUGUCCCCCCCACACCUCCCAUUGACCCACGUGGCCAAUGUAAAGCAUUAGAGGAAUCUGUCAGUCUCUUGUGUCAGGACCUCUCUUCCAGAAGGGAACAGUAUGUCUCCUCAGGAAACUAGGAACUCCAAAUCCCUUGGUUCUUUAUCUCUCUGUCCUCCAGGCCCUCCCACAACUGUGAUGAUGUACAUUCACUCCUUAUUAAUCCCCUUAGAUGGAAAGUUCUUGAGGGCAGGAUCCGAGUCUGACGCAUCUUCUUGUCCCCCGGUGCCUAGAGCUUGCAGGUGGUCCAUGGCCGCUGACAGCAAGAACACACACCCUCAUCCAUUCAAGUUUGUGUGAGAGGGGAGGCAGGGAGCAGUGCCCACCAGCCCCAGACCUCUUCCUGAUGAUGCUCUGCUGGAGAAAUGGUACACACGGGCUCAUAGCAGUAUUUUCAUUUUAAAACCCAGAGACCCUUUGCUCAUUACUGAAGGUCCAGAUGAGUAAUUAAGUUAUAAAUUGGAAUUUUAAUGAGCUGGCGUUCUGGCCAAAACACCUGCUUGCAGUCUAGUGACCAGAUUAUCCCCGCCCCCUUUGAGUGAUUCACAGUUGCUGAGACUGGUGCUCUGGAGUUAGUUGUUGUCAUCCAUAGACACCCAAAGCAGGAUCUUUGCUGCCUUUCAGGGUCAUCAAAGCAAGCUCCUCUGCCUGCCCCAGGGGAGCCUUAGUGCAAGAGUGGUUUGAGGGUUACUGUCAAGUCUCAGGAUCUUACCUGGCGGACCUCAUCCGGGUUCCUCGGCUGGGGUGGCCUGUCCACUGUAGGCACCCGGAACCCCACAAGAGAAUUGUGGGCCACUUAACAGAUACUUCCCUGCUUACCUUCCAGCCAUUGUACAAAUUCAGAGGAAAUGAGAAAUAGUUCCGUUCACACAUUAACCCCCCCCCCGGCCCCGCCCAAUAGUUCUUGUUCUAAUACCUUGUGUUGACAUUCCACUGGACUGGACUUUUGACAGUUUGAGGUUUGCAGCCUGAGGGGCCUUCUUGAAAAGUGCCCUGUGUCUUCCCUGACUUCGAAUAGACCUUUGUUGGUGGGGGACUCUGGGCAGAGUUCAGAGCCUCUGAGGACAGGCACCCAGGACACAAUCCAUACCACCUAGAAUCUAAUCCAAGUGCCCCGUAGACCCUCCCUCCCUCCGACUUUGUUUGGGGAAGUUCCCUGGAUGUAGAAACCUUGUGUUGUCCAUUUAGCGUGUGGGUCUUUCCUAACUGUGCAUCCUAGUCCUUCCUUCGCGGAACAUCAUUCAUCGAGCCUGUCUUAAAACUCAGCUUAGAGGCGGGCUGCUUAUGUAACAUUGCUCUUGGCACCUCUGUGAAGGAACAUGUUUGAGCUUCUCUUUAUCUGCUUUUCCCUCACCUUUGAAUUCCUCAUGGAGGCUGAGCUUUGCCAAACAGACAGCAGUGGAGCAAAAUUAGAAGCUUCUCGCUGGGCCGGCUUCUAAGGACCUUCCUGGUUUUCUAAGAAGCAACC